rnacentral:rRNA from 1 species
ACCCCAGACUCCUACGGGAGGCAGCAGUGGGGAAUAUUGGACAAUGGGGGGAACCCUGAUCCAGCGACGCCGCGUGGGUGUAGGAGCGUUUCGGCGCGUAAAGCCCUAUCGGCAGGGAAGAAAAUGACGGUACCUGACUAAGAAGCCCCGGCUAACUACGUGCCAGCAGCCGCGGGAAUACGUAGGGGGCAAGCGUUAUCCGGAUUUACUGGGUGUAAAGGGAGCGUAGACGGAAUUGCAAGUCUGAUGUGAAAAUCCGGGGCCCAACCCCGGAACUGCAUUGGAAACUGUAUUUCUAGAGUGUCGGAGAGGCAAGUGGAAUUCCUGGUGUAGCGGUGAAAUGCGUAGAUAUCAGGAGGAACACCAGUGGCGAAGGCGGCUUGCUGGACGAUGACUGACGUUGAGGCUCGAAAGCGUGGGGAGCAAACAGGAUUAGAUACCCUGGUAC